CCCCACAUCACUUCUUCUACUUCUUUUGCCAACUCUUUCUUUCUUUUUUCCUUCCUCUGACCACACAUAGCAUUUCCUAUAAUGCUAUCAGCAUGGCGUAGCUAUCACCAUCUUCUCUUUUACCAUUUGUAAUUACCUUGUAUUCUAAAAUAAGCAAUGCAAAUUGUAUUACAAAAAAUAUUUUAUCAGGACGAUAUUAAUG